GACGAACGCUGGCGGCGUGCUUAACACAUGCAAGUCGAACGGAAAGGCCCUGCUUUUGUGGGGUGCUCGAGUGGCGAACGGGUGAGUAACACGUGAGUAACCUGCCCUUGACUUUGGGAUAACUUCAGGAAACUGGGGCUAAUACCGGAUAGGAGCUCCUGCUUCCUGGUGGGGGUUGGAAAGUUUCGGCGGUUGGGGAUGGACUCGCGGCUUAUCAGCUUGUUGGUGGGGUAGUGGCUUACCAAGGCUUUGACGGGUAGCCGGCCUGAGAGGGUGACCGGCCACAUUGGGACUGAGAUACGGCCCAGACUGCUACGGGAGGCAGCAGUGGGGAAUAUAGCACAAUGGGCGGAAGCCUGAUGCAGCAACGCCGCGUGCGGGAUGACGGCCUUCGGGUUGUAAACCGAUUUCGCCUAUGACGAAGCGUGAGUGACGGUAAUGGGUAAAGAAGCACCGGCUAACUACGU
rnacentral:rRNA from 1 species